AACGAACGCUGGCGGCAUGCCUAACACAUGCAAGUCGAACGAGACCUUCGGGUCUAGUGGCGCACGGGUGCGUAACGCGUGGGAACCUGCCCUUAGGUUCGGAAUAACUCCCCGAAAGGGGUGCUAAUACCGGAUAAUGUCUUCGGACCAAAGAUUUAUCGCCUUUGGAUGGGCCCGCGUUGGAUUAGCUAGUUGGUAGGGUAAAAGCCUACCAAGGCGACGAUCCAUAGCUGGUCUGAGAGGAUGACCAGCCACACUGGAACUGAGACACGGCCCAGACUCCUACGGGAGGCAGCAGUGGGGAAUAUUGGACAAUGGGCGAAAGCCUAAUCCAGCAAUGCCGCGUGAGUGAUGAAGGCCUUAGGGUUGUAAAGCUCUUUUACCCGGGAUGAUAAUGACAGUACCGGGAGAAUAAGCUCCGGCUAACUCCGUG
rnacentral:rRNA from 1 species